rnacentral:lncRNA from 1 species
UUAUAAAGAUAUUUCCGUAACCUUCGCAAUUCGUGGCGCUACACAUCCUGACACCAAUAAAUUUUGUAGCAGUUGGACUCCCGAUCACACCUGUAAUGCCGAAGAAAUCGAGCAGUACUUCAAGACCCUGGGCAGUACUCUACUUCACGACGACACCGAGAAUGGACGAGCCGCCUUCCAGCUUCCGAUCUCCAGCACGAGUGUCGAGGAAGCAAUGCCGAGUACGAGCGAUGGAGAUAUUGAAGCAGCACCAGACUUCUUGGGAACCGACAUGAGAAGGAGCAGACGCUGCUGCAGCAGUUGCAGUAGCAACGAUCUUCGAGA